GGGUGAGUAACGCGUAAUCAACCUGCCCUUCAGAGGGGGACAACAGUUGGAAACGACUGCUAAUACCGCAUACGAUCUAAACUCGGCAUCGAGGAUGGAUGAAAGGUGGCCUCUACUUGUAAGCUAUCACUGAUGGAGGGGAUUGCGUCUGAUUAGCUAGUUGGAGGGGUAACGGCCCACCAAGGCAAUGAUCAGUAGCCGGUCUGAGAGGAUGAACGGCCACAUUGGGACUGAGACACGGCCCUUACUCC
rnacentral:rRNA from 1 species